rnacentral:rRNA from 1 species
GUGUCAGCAGCCGCGGUAAGACGGAGGGUGCAAGCGUUGUUCGGAAUUACUGGGCGUAAAGGGCGCGUAGGCGGCCCGCUAAGUUCGGUGUGAAAGCCCCUGGCUCAACUGGGGAACGGCGCUGGAAACUGGCGGACUCGAGUACCGGAGAGGAGGGUGGAAUUCCUGGUGUAGCGGUGAAAUGCGUAGAUAUCAGGAGGAACACCGGUGGCGAAGGCGGCCCUCUGGACGGAUACUGACGCUGAGGCGCGAAAGCGUGGGGAUCAAACAGGAUUAGAUACCCUGGUAGUCCACGCUGUAAACGAUGGGGACUAGGUGUGGGGGGUAUUGACCCUCCCGUGCCGCCGCUAACGCAUUAAGUCCCCCGCCUGGGGAUUACGGCCGCAAGGUUAAA